ACGGUUGCAGCUGUGUUCAGCUUACCGCAUCUUAUAUCAGCUGCACGGAAGUAGCUGUAAGUAAUCUGGACGCUACAGCUUUAAGCAGCUGCGCGCUCCCGCGGACGGCAAUCACAAUCACUGUCUAGCACAACAGCUGGAGCUCAGGAGGCAAAACAAUCGCAUGAGUGCUGCUGUUUGACUGAGGAAGAAUAAAGUAGUCGUGCUCAGAUCCAGACUCAGAUUUGGUGCCUUUCAGUGUCUGAAGAUGUGUUCGAGUCUCUCCACCAGCCGCCUGAUUCUUCUGAUCUCCCUGAGUGUGAUGAUGCUCAUCUCUGUAUCAGGAGCUGACCACGUGGGAAAUACCUGCUAUAAAACAUAUUCUAACCAAAAUGGAACUCUGUUGUGUCCUCCAGUGUUUUCAAAUAAACAUGUAUAAGCUAUUAAUCUUUAAUGAGUCCUCCCACUGUAGUUUGUAUAUUCCAGCUGCACCACAGUGUUUAGAAGCAGUGACUGUCUGUCAUCUUGUCUCGUAGGUUUCUUAAUUCACACAGUGAUUUUCAUAGAUUUAAUCUAAGUAUAGAUGAUGAAAAUGAUGAAACAAAGUUAAAGUAAAGCAGCUGCUGGAAACAUUUCUGCUCAUUUAUUAGUUCACACUUUGACAGAAAUAUUUGUUAAGAAAUGUAAAUUAUUUUUUGCAAAUUAUUCAUAGCACCUUAACAGUCUUGUGUUCACAUAUAUAUAUAUAUACAAUACAAUACAAAACAAUUUUACUAUAUAACAUGUUUAAAGCCAGGGGGUACACCAAAUUGCUUCACAGUAAGGAAUAAAGAGUAAAAUGAUAACACUGAACAGUAAGUCAUUAAAACAAUGUAAAAUAGAGAAACAAACAAAGGCAUUAGUAAGUAGGGAUUGGCAGAAUUCAUGAUAAUCCCGAGAAAUGAGUAAAGAUACGCCAGUUAGUGAUUGGUGAGGAUUAGCAAAUAUACUACAAGUGUCAUUAAAUAUGAAUGUUAUUCUGUCUUCAAGCUGAGAACAAAGAUAAAUCAAUAAAAGCUUCUGAGAUCAGA
ensembl:lncRNA